UUGUAAAAUGCUUGCCACAUGUGAGGUAUGAUCUGAGAAAAGGCAUUUCUUGCAGUUGUUGUGGUGGGACUCACACUUUCCCAGAUGAGCUGGGGCUGGUGGAUCUCCUGGCCUGAUAAGCUUGCAUUCCCCUAGGGCUGGUGGCUUGGGGUGCCCAGGGUGGCCAGUUCUGAGGCCACGUACUGUUCAUCUGCUUGAUCCCCAUAAGCUGUGAGUAGAGGCUUCACUUUGAAAACCAGCUAAAAGUUGGUCUGUAGUAAGUGUGGAUGUGCUAUGAUCCUGCUCCAGUGCUUUGUGCUGCACUCAUGCCCUUGCGGUUGGGAGGCAGCUCAGCCCCAUCCCUUAGUGAGUGGCCCUCUCCUUCAGUGCAUGCAUUGGAGACACCCCAAACAGCCCUGGGGCUGCCAUUCAUAGCUCCCUUCCUCAUUAUGCUGCCUCACCACUUAAAUUGAGACUGAAUUCACUUCCCCUUGCUUCGGCUGCUCUUGAUCCUUGUCUCCAGCAGCAGUGUCCAGUAAUCCUGUCCCAUGGAAAGCCCUUGUUGUUUUGGCUAUGGGGCUGCAAAUCCCUGCAGGUCUUUGCUUUCCGAGGUCUUGCAUGAAUAUGUUGCAUUGCAUAGCUGUCAUGGGUACCUCCUGCUCAUGCCUAACCUGGCUGUUAAAGGGUGUCUCUGGAUGGUUUUUUUUAAUGACUGUGACUGUCUGCUUUAUGACUUUCCAGGACAAGGAGGUGCUCCUCAUUCCCCUCAUAUUUACUGUAUACAUGGUGCCCCUGAAAUGCCCUGCCUUCCAAAAAAGAAUCAGAUAAAUAAAAAUGUAGGGCUGAUUCUUGUCUUGUAUCAAGGUGCUGGAGAUUAAUUGGGAGUGAAAAGUCUUCAGGCAGCUAGGACAGAAAGACAGAAGGUGUGAUGCUGCAGUAAAACCUGCCCUGUGUUCCACCAUCUCCUCCUCUUCCCAGUCAUGACUGUAUCUCCCUUCUACCCAAAUCCUCUGGCCUACUGAUGGGCUCCUGUGCUGAAUUUUGGGUCUUACUGCCCUGGGGUACAUGGUGUGACUAGCAGCUCUCUCCAAUAACAGAAAUAACCCUACAACUCAAUCAAAGCACUAAAAAAUUAAACCAAAUGCCGCACGUUGUCAACAUGAUAGAACAUACUUAGGCUGCUCUAUCCCAUCAUCUAGAUGCAGCAACUGAACUCGUUUUGUUUUGUUUUGUUUUAUUCCAGCAUUGUAAUGUAGGACCUUGUUGUAAACACUAUCUGCUGGUGAUUAGAAGUCAUCCUGCAGCUCUCCUUUCACGAGAACAUAAAUACAAGCAUGGAUGCUGCAGAUGUCCUUUCAGGAUUGGACAGGCUGGAUUUAAGCUGGCUAGGGGCAAUGCGCAUCUUUGGACCAGGAGUAACAGGAAUUCUGAAGAAAAGGAAGUUUCAAGAUGAGCUCUAUGUAAAAGAUCAUACAGGAUAAGCAAAGAAUGGAAGGAAAGAAACCGGUGAAGCUCACUGUUGCAGAAGCUGUCAGCUGAAUCAGCUGUGCUGCGCUGCAGCACACAUCCACAGUAGCCAUGCGGAUGCUCCUCUUUUCAGAAAGCAAUCCCUACAGCUGUUUCUUCAGUAAAUUUGUUUUUUGGAUGUGGACAGCGGCACUUCACCACGCUGCUGUGCACGCGGGAGGGACAUGAUCUGCAAAGCUUCUUCCCUGCCGUGCAAUAACACCGAGCGCCUCAUGGAAACGAGCCCAUUUCCCAUUAACAGCAGGACCUGAACAAACCCAGCAAGGCAGCGACAGCCCAUUCAUUCCAGAGCCCUUCCCCACUCUGGAUUGCUACAGGCUAGAGCACAAACAAGAGAGUCACAACCUAUUGGUAGUUCCACGCAGUUCGAGCUAAUGCACUGCUCUUCCUCUGGAGAAACACAACUUCAUAUUUGCAUGCAAUUCAUGAAAUUAAAAUGAACAGAGAGAAUAUCCACAAUGCCUGGAGCUGACAUUACGAUGGCCGAAAGCACUGAGUACCACUGAUUCCCAUCCUGGUUGUACACACUGUAAUUUGCUGUAACGUUGGAUGAGGCUGACCCUGACUUCAGCACUGUGCUCUACAGUUGAAGAGGAAUUUGCACAGCGGAGGCCAGUUUGUAUUUACACACAUUAGAAUGUUUCAUGGGGGGAAGAACAAGAGAAGAAGUGUUUCCGCCUGGCAGAAGCAUCGCCAGGUACGUAUUGGUCAUUCAUGCAACAGUUCCUCUGGCAGAGCAAAGCUAAUUCUUUAACCUGCAGGAGUUGGAGAAAUCUUAGUGGUCGCAGACAAUACAUGUAAAAAAGCCACACAACUACGUUGGAAAUCCAUCUAAUGGAUGCCUUGGUUAUACUGAUAAGCAUGGCAUGAUACACGAUUUAGGCUGUGUGCUUUCUGGAUAGAGACCUAAGCGUACGGCACCUUGCACAAUGUUAUUAUCAACUGAAGUUUAGGGAGCUCUGUUGCAUUUCUGUAUGGCAGUAAUGAUGAUAUUAACAACGCUUGGAGAAGACAUUAAUAAUAAUAAUAAUGGUUAAAUAGGUCCUGCUUCUCCUUCUGCAUGUUCUCAGUCAGCAAAGUUCUUCAGUUGUUUCAUUUCCUUACUAUAGCAGUAAUUCAUAGCCCAGGAGACUGCUUAAUAAUACCAAUUAUGGUACAAAAGAAAGUACAAUGAAAAUGGACCCAAAUUAAAGCUCGCUAAGUUCAGCUCAGCAUCUUUUUGCUCUCCCAAGGUAUGUUUGCUAUAGCAAGCUUAACAGAGCAGAUUCAUUUUAUUUCUGCCUAUCUUCAUGUUUACUAAACCUGAAUUAAUGCUCUCCUUCCGCAGCCCAAACACGAAAGAGUUCUGCAAAUAGCUGAAAGAAAUGAUAAGGACUCCAGGUGACAUAGAUCACACACUGUACACAGUAUUACUUUCCCCAGAGUGAGCCUGUGUAGCAGUAUUUCGUGGCAUUCAUCAUUAAAGUUCAGUCUUUGGAGGGCUGCCAUCGUGGUCGUGUGCAGCCAGCUCUCCAGUGAUGUAGUGGAGCUUAUAACCAAAGGCCAUCCCUCCAGGGGGCACUGCAAAGCAAUCUGAAUGUCAGGCCUUGGGAAAGGCUGCGGUGUUUUUUUUUUCCUUUUCCUCCUUAGCUGUUUUUAUUUCAAACAGUUUUUAUUUCACAGGAGGGCCAAUAGCUUUAAGCACGAGAGGUUUCUAGCCACAAAACUGUGAAGUCUCCAGAAACAAGAAACCAGUGAAAUGUAGGGAAAAAAAAAAAAAAAAAAGUAGUUGCUUUCUUGCCAAAACAAAAUUCCUGCUGAUACACUGAACUGGAUCAAAGUAUUUUUGCAGAAAGACAGAACUCGUGCUAACCUUGCCAUGAAGGUGCUGGGCGCUGCUGGGUGGUGGCCUCUCUGGUGUCCUCAGCUAAGCAGAGCCAAGGCAGCACCACCUUGCUGGUCCUUCCUUCACCUCCCAGCCAGGCACAGAUGCCCAGCUUCUUAUCCACCCACAUGGAGACACGGGGUGUAAGCAGCGGGGCUGCCCAGUGAGCAACUGGGAAGCCCCCAGUGCUCCAGUGAGUGCUUCAUCUCCAGGACAGCCUUUCACAUUGGUCACUGCCAGCUCAUAUGGAGCCACGCUAAUAGACAUGGCACAGGAAGACACGGAGGAAGUAGGAGGCUACAAGGUGAUAUGUGAUUGGGAGGAGCAGAGAUUUCAAUUAGCAGGAUGUGAAACCCCCUUCAAAGCCAAUCACUUACAGUGCUGGUUUCCUCCAAAGUACUCGAAUCACCACCUGGCACAGCGCAGCGAGAGGAUGAACACAGUAAUUGAGAAGUGUGCCCAGCAACGUGUACUUGUUACAGGUGCUCUUGAAGGGUUAGAGCUUGCUUCAUUUCCACAGCCCACAGCAAGCCUGACUGCUUCAAGCUCUUCUCACAGGAUGGGGAUCAUGGAGCAGCCUCAAGUGGCACAUUUUGUUCUCAGCAUGAGUAUGCCUCCUUUGGGUCUCAGGGCCUCUGCCCAAAGGCUUUCUGCCUCGCAGUCAAUUAAGAGAAGGUACAAAAUACCAGAGAAAUGGCACAUCCUAGCAAUUAUGAUAAACAAAGUAUAUAGCCAACUACUUUAAAAGCAGACUUUGAAAUGCCACUGGCUUGCUUCGUUCUGAGCACAUUCCCAGGGAGAAUGUCAGGUCACAUAACUCAUCUGUAAUCUUUACAUAGAGGAUCUCAACUGAGCAGCAGCCAUCAUAAAAAUAACCAACAUUUCUUUUUGUGGAAAACAAACAUAAAAGAAAAAUGCAACAUCUCUCUUACACACACACCAAACAAAAGGGCAGUUAGCACUUCAAAGAUUACUGGCUGUAAAUAGCAGUGCCAAUGGACUGGGGAGCUGUGCUCCUCUUUAGCGACAGCCCUACUUACUGCCACGGAGGCAGCGAUGUUUCAGGCCUUUCCUGUGCUGCAUCGUGCAUUCAUUUAGAGUGUGCUCUUUGCAUUUUAUUUCCCUCGGUGCCUUAAAAAUACCAAGAUUUGCAGUAGUGUAAGAACAACCUUUCAAUCUAGCCUCAUAUACAGCAUUUCAAUCUAGCCGAUGGGGAGUGUUGGAAGAAAAUUGCUGUAUAGUAGCCAAGAACCCCCUCUCACAUUUCUCUAUCAUCCACAGCCAGAUUCUUGCAUUUACAACUAGCCAUUUUAAUUACAUCUAAAUAUUUAUCUCCAAGGUGGCUAUAUUAGUUGGUCUUUAAUUGUAGCGGUGCAAACACACGAUGGCUGGGUGCUCUCAUUUGCCUGUGUGCAUGGAACAAAAGAUGCUGUACUCAAUUACACAGCAAACGUCCACAGGUACCUCUGAGACAUCCUACAUGCCACACUAAGCCUGUGCUUCACGUGCUUAAACAGCUCUCUCUAUUGCUUUAUAGGAAGGGAGGGAAGAAGGGAAAGAGUUUUUGUUUUCUUUCUAAACCUCAUUUACAGUUGUACAGCUAAAGCUUGAAGAUUAAUAAUAAAAGUGCAUAUGUGACAAUGCAGAAAUAAAUGCCGUUCCGCGUUAAAUACAAAGCAAGAAGCAAAUUUAUUUUUUCUGUUAAUUAACCAGGCUUUCAUCUCAACUGCUCAGAUCUGUAAAUAAAGCUACUUUCAAACCAGCCAAGGAAUUAGGCAAUAAAGCAAAACAAACUCAACCAAAAUACUCCAACCCAAGAGCCUCCUAACAUGGGUUAGCUAAUUAUGUUUGCCAUUUCCUAUUCAAGGAGGACUUCAACAGAACUUCCUAAUUGAAACGGGUUAAAAGCAACAGUACUCUGUUGGCAGCCUCAGGGUGAGCACCACCAAAUGAUCCCAAGCACUGCCAAGGAGCAAAGGGCAUUCCCAGAUAUUCUGAAAGGGGAGAUAAGUGGAAGGGAGGAUAGACAGACAGGCAGAAAUGGGAGAAGAAAGAACGAACGACUGAUCCCUACCAUUAAUAUUACAUCCUCCUGCAGCUAUGCCUCCCCUCUGAGGAUUUGCUUUCCAAGCUCUUUAUUGAAAUUGUUCAGGUCCUUAACUGAUCUCCUGGGGGGUGAGUCAGGGGGAGUGGGGUGGGUGGUUGAAAAGCCUUAAGCUAAUUAAGCAUGGCUGAGACAUGCUUGAUGAGAUGGGAAAAACACGAGGCUUUUGAAGGGGUGAAAAACCUCCGACCAUCUGGUAGUGGCAUUGCAGGGAGAAGAAAGAGGAAGGACAAAGGGGCAGCUCUCUGGUCCAGGAGGUACAGGACUCCUUUAAUUACCGGGUCAUUGAGACCAUUACAGUUCCAAAUGCCAGUGAAAGCCUGCAAAAUAAGCUUGGGAGGCUCAGCAAAAACAACAGCUCUUAGCACGAAAAGCAUCUGCAAGAAAGUGAAUCGGAGAAGCUUUCCCCAAGAUGCGCCUGCUAAUUAGAAAUGAUAGGUAAUGGAUGGGAGUGGAGGCCCCCAGAUCAGAACAAGACUGUUUCCAGUAACCUCCCUGCCUCUCCUCUCCGAUCUGCUGUUCUCCAAGGCCCUGCAGAUGGUGCUCUGUUUAAAUUAAUACACCCUGCCAGCCAGAAGGAAGCUUCUGUUGUACUUGGCAGUCCAGGUGAACAGCCUGCGUUUAGGCUUCAGAAUGAAUGCCCCAGGUGUUUCAUCAAUAUGGCAAGCAGCUUAUGUGCUCCAGCCUCUUCAGGCCUGGAUAAAGCUCAUCUGUGUUUUCCCAUCUCUGAGACUGGCUAGAGAAAAUCGCAGCGUUCAUCAGAGGGCAAACUACACAUACCAGAGGAAUAUCUGAGCCAUCUUUGUGCUAAACGGCUUUGUCAGCCGUGAGCAGGGAAGGUGCUGGUGUGAUCCAGACGAGGAGCCCUCCCCUGCCUUCUCUGCUCACGUGGGCUGGAUGUGGCUGUGGCUGACUACAGGUGCAGGCUGGCAAAAAGCAAGCUGCUUGUGACACCAGAAGCCGUGGCCAAACCCGUGCCAAAAUGCUGCACUUUGCUAACUCCUGCUUCGGGAUGUGCCGACGUGCGGCUGAUUUCCUUUCCUCCCACACGCAGAUUCUCCUUCAAUUAUUUUGGCCGUGUGCUGUGAACCAGUCAGAUGCACAGGCUGCGCAAGAGCAAGCUAUAUCCAUCCUUGGAUGGCAGACCUCAUUAAAAGAAGGAAGCGGAACCGGGGAUCUAUCGCAUCAUGCUGCACUGCUGUCCGCAGGAUCAGAUACAAAACCCAGGCCCUGCCUACCUGCGGCCAUUUCGGUUUCGAUAAGGACAAACGGCAUUAACCCUAUUCUUGAGCCAAAUCUCAACAUACAUUUUUCUCCUCUAGGUUCUCCCUGAAGGUUCACUUGGAAAAAGCUGCUGUGUCUUAAGCUGUCACAUUUUUAUUCAGUACUGUUAAACAUUGGCUGCGUUUAAUGCCAGAGGGAAAAGUUUCAGAUGCUGUGAUCUCUGUGUAUAUCAGUUUCUAAGAUAACUUCAGUUUCUGCAGAUAGGUACCGGAUAUGUGCGUACUUAUCGUCUGCUUUUCAUGCUCACUUACUUCAAGAGCCAGCUGGAUCUGCAAACAGAACUCCAUCCAGAAAAUCUAUUUCCCUCCACAUCAUAUGUAAUGCUGGAAGCAGAAUAUCCUUUAAGGUCUUUUUCCUUUUUCGUGCCUUUUGGUUUUCAGCAAGCUUUGCCAGAGUUACAGGGCCAAGAGAACCAAAACCAAGCUCAAAAAAACCCUGAAUGUUUGGAUGCUUACUGGAGCAGCAGCUCCGUUCCAGUUGGCCCCGAUGCUGCCAAGCACUGCAGUACUGCCACACAGUCACCGAGCCACGCAUCCGGUGUGGGCUCAGGUCUGGAUGUGUAAAUGGAUUUGUGAUGAGAUGAGCAUUAACAAAACAAACAGUUGCAUAAAAAUGACCACAACAGCUGUACUUGCUACGCACUGUGCAGUUAUGGCUUUGGAAGAAGGGGAAAUGAGACAAACAAAGCCAGUGUUGAGGAUGCUGGUACUUCAGGAGCAGAGAUGGACUUCUUACAUUUGCUCAUACAACAGGAACUGUAAAAACCUGCUGUCCCAUGGAAAAGACCCCAAAACAAGAGAGCACACUUCGGAUCUCUUUCAGACAUCUAGCUUUAUAGAACAACACAACCAUCAGAGAUAAGCUACAGGCCUGGAAAUAAACCCGUGUCUGAGUCCCACUCCGUGCUGGAAGGAGCCAACCUCUGGCCCUCAUGUCCUAGAGAUCCCUGCAUGGACAGCUGCAGGAGAAAGCCCCUUUCACCCUUCUAAUGCACCAGGGCCCACUGCCAGCAAAAACACACGACUUACAGAGCCCUUUCAAAGCCCAGGAAGGAGCGAUGCAGCUGGUGUACACCCCAAAAAAGCUAGUCCUGCUCGGUUUUCUGUCCUCCAUGGACUGGCUGGAUCUUAGGUUGAUGGCGGUGCCACACUUGGGUACCUGCACCCCAGGGCGGGAGAGAUGCUAAAACAUGCCUUACUGACUGCCUCCCUGCUUAGUCUGCAAGCUUUCCUGCUAAUCUUCCCUGCUGCCUGGACAGCUGGAAGAAUCAGCCAAUUUAAUUUCCUUGAAUCGAGCUGCUGGAGUUAGGUACCGAUUUUUCAGCACAGUGACAUCUUACUUUGAAGCACCUGAGGUAUCUCCAUUUGUGCCCAUUUGAUGUUUUCGUGCUACAUUUCAGGCUGACAGACCACACAAACACACCCAGAGAGUGUGUUUUAACUGAUGAAAUACCUUGUAACCACGAUAGGAUUUAGCCACAAAGCGGGGCGCUCAAUUUUCUCCAGCCACCGAGACAGCGACUUUGCUAGGCUGACCCUCUCACUAUGUACCACUGUUAGAUGUAACCAGGGGGCACUGAAAAAAGAUUAUUGACUUUUUCCUCCUCGGAAUCCAGAACGCGGUUUAACUGAUUUUCAGUCCAGGUGAGAACAGCAUAGCCUGUAAGCGACUGCUUAUUUCCUCCACAGAGAAGAUGCUGAACGUGUAAAUAUGCUGUCUUUCAAGGGCUGUCAAGUAAAUGAAGGUAUUGAGUGUUUUUUGACAGGAUGCUGUAAAUGAAGAAAGGAGUUUUUGGCCUCUGUGGUACCGAUGAUUACAGGCAGAGCUAUGCCCUUCACACUAGCGAUUGAGAAAAAACAAACUAAUAAGGCUGCAAAACCACAAAAGGAAUAACGAGACAAAAGGAUUGCAUGCCCCAACGUCUCGGGCUAAGGAUCUCUCACCAGUGAAACAAUAACAAGGACUGUUUCGUGGCAGAAAUUUGUUAGCUGAGGAAUGCUAUGGAUUUUAGAACUUAGGAUAGAAAUCACAAGGAAAGCCUGGAUCCGGGAGAAAAAUAAAUGUUUGAGGAAAUAACAGUGUUAGUCAGUUAUGGAAUCAUUUAAGCACCCCAGUAAACGCAAGGGAAAGUAAAAGACCACGCCAUUCCAUGCUCUGUAUUUCUCCUGGACCUCUCAAGCAGAAAACAGAUGCUUUUGCUGUUGCCCAUACAACCCAAAAUGCAUCAUCCAGAACACCUCUGCUGUACCAGUUUAAUUGCAGAUUAAGACUUGACUGUACACAUAACACACGAGAAAGGACUUUCAGAGCUCAUGGAAGAGCCCACAGAGGACAAGCUGAACUUUCUGUUAAGUAACAGGAAGUCCCAAAGAGCUGCAGUACUGCACCAGUGUUAAGAUAUCACUACAGCACGAUUAAUACAAAGGUGCAGCCACAGAGAUGGAGGAGGUGAGAUGAAAUGCUAGCUUCCUCCCUGGCAGACAACUUACAGUGACCAGAAACAGUCGCAGCUUGGGGCUAACACUGUGGGCUGGGUACGCUAGCAGUGACCUCAGAACACUUGUCUGGCAGUAAAACGUGAUGAAAGCCAACUGAGCACAGGAAAGCUAUUCCAGAUGGCAAAAUCUGCUUGAGAACACUCACCUGCCAUCUGCACUAGGAAAAGGUGAGGGCACAGAAAACCCGCUGCCAGGAAGUUAUGGCUCACAGGCAGAUAAAAGGAAGAGAAUAUCUAUAGGUACGAGGAAAGGAUAAUGCUUUGAAGAUCUGAAUGAGAUCAGGUGGGAUUUUUCCUGCUCAGGAUCUGUAAUGGGGAAAGGCAGAUUUACUCUCAGCUGGGGUCGUGCCCCACUGAACAACUUGGAGAUGUUUCUUCCCUCUGCUUGAGUGCCAGACCCUCCUUGUGCAUACCAGACUUCCUAUCCAAGCACCAGGAGCAAGGGCCCCUGAGAAGCCACAGCACAACAGCUCCUGGCAGGGCCAACACCAUGGGGCUGAGCAGCAGAGAAACCAGAGCAGAGCUGAACCAGAAAGAUGGCAUCCUGACAGACCUGUUAGCAUGAACAGUGGCUAAAUGCCACCAUUCUGAUAGGAGAGCAUGGUAAACUGCUUACCCACACUGCUGGGCACAACCGCAGUGACAAAGUUCCUAACAGAGUAGGGAAACAUACAUCCACACCCACAAAGUAAAUCCCACAACAUCCACUGCUUGCUUUGAGUUCAUUCUUGUUCUGAUCCCUAAAUAAGCAAAACUGCCAAAUCAUCUCCCCGACCCCCGCUGCUUGUUUUUAGUUCACACUGCUACAGUCCCACUCCGCUCAUUGUGCUUCAUGACAAUCAUUGGUAAAUGCAGUUUCUUUCUCUGUCUGAAGUGUGUGUGCCACUUGCACGUACGAAAGAGCUGUAACACAGCACAACAACCUGGGCAGAGGCGCAUCUUAUGCAUGCUGCACAUCAUAUAUAACGUAAAACGUGGGGGAGCACAGAAUCUCCAGAGCCAGUUCAGCAGGAUCUGUGCACACCCCUCCCUAGACAAGCUUUAUUAAAGGAGGGGAGAGUCCAAAAUGAAUCAGACUGAAAAGGUUUGAUGGAUCUAUUCUGAUUUAAAACCAAAAGUCUUACUGCCGCAAAAGGGAACGAAGGCCGCUGCUCAAACAGAAACCUCGGGAGCUGCACAGUAUGCUGAAAACAAUGGUGCCAUUUCUCUGAGGGUGCUAAACUUGAUUUCCAGAUACAUUAUUAACUACGAUGCCAUCUGUAAAACUGCAGCCUUUGGUCAGCGAGCUCUCUUUUUUCAAUUAUGCUACAGGAAGAAGUUUCUAGGAUGUCAAAAUCUCUCCCUCGAUUCCUUUCCUUGCCAUUUGAUAUGAUUUGAAAGAUACGUGUUUCAUUUGCAUAAAGUACCUCUGCUUCUCAGGAGAUUUGAAUUAGAACCAAAGACUGGUAGACUUGAGCACCACAUGAAAUAUGAAUUCCAUUAUCGUUCCAGUUUUCAUAUGCUAAAAGGGCAUUAUCAGCAUCUUAAAGCUCUUUAAGCCUUGUAGCUCAGAAGUACAAAACAUGUAACAUCAUGUAAUAAUAUUGUAAACAUAUGAGGACUUUGAAUGACUUCAUAGCAUCUGCUUUUCGGUGGGAUUUUAUGGCUUUAUAUUAUUUUGGUGUUCCUACCACUGGAAAAUAAAAAUGUAAAUGGCACUUUAAAAUACGUCAUUAAAAAUAUCCCUUUUCUCCUCCAGCUUCUCAGAGGAUUUAAUCUUUCUGUUGUUUGUUUUUUUUUUUAAAUUAUUUUUUGUAUGUAGAAGAGAGUUCUAAAAAGUAUUAUUAGAUUGAACGCAGAAUGUAUUUCAAUGCAGUACUGUAACGUGAGUUAAUUAAACUAAACAAAGGCCACAUUGCCAACACUUUCAAAGGGAACAAAGAGAUGGUAUUUUUAAAUGAAAUAAAAAUUGACAAUUCAUAAUAAUAUCUCUAUUCUGAUGACGAAGAAAGCAAUCAGAUACACGCAAUAAACCUUAAACACUAUUAUUGUUAAAGCAGUCCCUUUUCUUGUAUCUUUUUCCCUUUCUUUUGCCUUUUUGUCUUAUACUCCACCAUCAAGCCUGAUAACAUAAAAUGACUGUGAUGGCAGGUGAAAUGCUUAAGCUGAGAAUUCCUUACAUUUUCCACUUUCUCUUAGAAAACAAUGCAGAAAAAAAUAUAUCGUUUGUCACUGAAAGAGAUGAAAAAUAAUUAAAACUUAGAAUUGAUCUUGCACCACCUGUUCUUUACAUACACUCAGGCUAGAAUCUGAUAUAUGGAGAGUAAUGAAAAGAAACAGAUUCCUUCUGUGGCAGGAAAAAAAAAAAAAGACUUCUUUCCCCCCAAGGAGAUUGAAAUCAAUAUCUGGAGCAGACUGCUGACAGUAUAAUAACCACCCAUCCUGCUCAUGCACAGCGUUGCUCAGUACAAACCCACACAGCACCCUUAGGGAAGGUUUGCGGGGGCCUGCACCCUCCACGAGCAGGGAAGGAACAUCG